AAUCAACGCUGGCGGCGUGCCUAACACAUGCAAGUCGAACGAGAAAGUGGAGCAAUCCAUGAGUAAAGUGGCGCACGGGUGAGUAACACGUGACUAACCUACCCUUGAGUGGGGGAUAACCUCGGGAAACCGGGGCUAAUACCGCAUAAUAUCGAGAGAUCAAAGGAGCAAUUCGCUUAAGGAGGGGUCGCGGCUGAUUAGCUAGUUGGUGAGGUAAUGGCUCACCAAGGCUAUGAUCAGUAUCCGGCCUGAGAGGGCGCACGGACACACUGGAACUGAAACACGGUCCAGACUCCUACGGGAGGCAGCAGUGGGGAAUUUUGCGCAAUGGGGGAAACCCUGACGCAGCAACGCCGCGUGGAGGAUGAAGUCCCUUGGGACGUAAACUCCUUUCGAUCGGGGACGAUAAUGACGGUACCCGAGAGAAGAAGCCCCCGGCUAACUUCGUGCCAGCCGCCGCCGU
rnacentral:rRNA from 1 species